rfam:Myotis davidii contig16942, whole genome shotgun sequence.
GGUGGUUCUUGGGUAACGCACCCCAGAAUCUGGCUCCUUCCUCUCUACUUUUGGGUGCAUCAUCUGAGAACCGCA